rnacentral:rRNA from 1 species
UACGAAGGGGGCUAGCGUUGUUCGGAAUUACUGGGCAUAAAGGGCGCGUAGGCGGCGUGUCAAGUCAGGCGUGAAAGCCCCGGGCUCAACCUGGGAACCGCGCUUGAGACUGGCAUGCUCGAGUUCGGGAGAGGAUGGUGGAAUUCCCAGUGUAGAGGUGAAAUUCGUAGAUAUUGGGAAGAACACCGAUGGCGAAGGCAGCCAUCUGGACCGACACUGACGCUGAGGCGCGAAAGCGUGGGGAGCAAACAGG